rnacentral:rRNA from 1 species
GACGAACGCUGGCGGCGUGCUUAACACAUGCAAGUCGAACGAAGUGGCGAACGUGUGAGUAACGCGUAAUCAACCUGCCCUUCAGUGGGGGACAACAGUUGGAAACGACUGCUAAUACCGCAUACUGUAGGAGGGGAUUGAGUCUGUUUAGCUAGUUGGAGGGGUAACGGCCCACCAAGGCGAUGAUCAGUAGCCGGGCUGGGAGGAUGGACGGGCAAAUGGGGACUGGGACACGGCCCCGACUCCUACGGGAGGCAGCAGUGGGGAAUCUUCCGCAAUGGACGGAAGUCUGACGGAGGAACGCCGCGGGAGGGAUGACGGGCUUCGGGUUGGAAAGCUCUGUUAAUCGGGACGCGGUACCGGAAUAGAAAGCCACGGCUAACUACGUGCCAGCCGCCGCGGUAAUAC